UACGUAGGGCGCAAGCGUUAUCCGGAAUUAUUGGGCGUAAAGAGCUCGUAGGCGGUUUGUUGCGUCGGCUGUGAAAUCCCGAGGCUCAACCUCGGGUCUGCAGUCGAUACGAGCAAACUAGAGUGUUGCAGGGGGAGACUGGAACUCCUGGUGUAGCGGUGAAAUGCGCAGAUAUCAGGAGGAACACCGGUGGCGAAGGCGGGUCUCUGGGCAACAACUGACGCUGAGGAGCGAAAGCGUGGGGAGCGAACAGG
rnacentral:rRNA from 1 species